rnacentral:rRNA from 1 species
UACAGAGGUCUCAAGCGUUGUUCGGAUUCAUUGGGCGUAAAGGGUGUGUAGGUGGCGCCGUAAGUCGGGUGUGAAAUUUCGGAGCUUAACUCCGAAACUGCAUUCGAUACUGCCGUGCUUGAGGACUGGAGAGGAGACUGGAAUUUACGGUGUAGCGGUGAAAUGCGUAGAUAUCGUAAGGAAGACCAGUGGCGAAGGCGGGUCUCUGGGCAGUAACUGACGCUGAGGAGCGAAAGCGUGGGGAGCGAACAGG